AUUGAACGCUGGCGGCAGGCCUAACACAUGCAAGUCGAACGAGUGGCGGACGGGUGAGUAAUGCCUGGGAAACUGCCCGAUGGACGGGGAUAACUACUGGAAACGGUAGCUAAUACCGCAUACCAUCAGAUGUGCCCAGCUGGGAUUAGCUUGUUGGUGGGUUAACGGCUCACCAAGGCGACGAUCCCUAGCUGGACUGAGAGGAUGACCAGCCACACUGGGACUGAGACACGGCCCAGACUCCUACGGGAGGCAGCAGUGGGGAAUAUUGCGCAAUGGGCGAAAGCCUGAUGGAGCAAUGCCGCGUGGAUGAAGACGGCCUUCGGGUUGUAAAGUACUUUCAGCGGGGAGGCGUUACUCGCAGAAGAAGCACCGGCUAACUCCGUGCCAGCAGCCGCGGUAAUAC
rnacentral:rRNA from 1 species